UACAUAGGGUCCGAGCGUUGUCCGGAUUUAUUGGGCGUAAAGAGCUCGUAGGCGGCUCAGUUAGUCGGAUGUGAAAACUCGGGGCUCAACCCCGAGACGCCAUCCGAUACUGCUGUGGCUUGAAUCUGGUAGGGGAGCACGGAAUUCCUGGUGUAGCGGUGAAAUGCGCAGAUAUCAGGAGGAACACCGGCGGCGAAGGCGGUGCUCUGGGCCUUACCUGACGCUGAUGCGCGAAAGCCAGGGGAGCGAACGGG
rnacentral:rRNA from 1 species